rnacentral:rRNA from 1 species
CAAUAGCGUAUAUUAAAGUUGUUGCGGUUAAAAAGCUCGUAGUUGGAUUUCUGCUGAGGACGACCGGUCCGCCCUCUGGGUGAGUAUCUGGCUUGGCCUUGGCAUCUUCUUGGAGAACGUAGCUGCACUUGACUGUGUGGUGCGGUAUCCAGGACUUUUACUUUGAGGAAAUUAGAGUGUUUCAAGCAGGCACACGCCUUGAAUACAUUAGCAUGGAAUAAUAAGAUAGGACCUUGGUUCUAUUUUGUUGGUUUCUAGAGCUGAGGUAAUGAUUAAUAGGGACAGUUGGGGGGCAUUGUAUUUACAACGACAGAGGUGAAAUUCUUGGACUUUGUAAGACGAACUACUGCGAAAGCAUUUGCCAAGAAUGUUUUCAUUA